UACGGGGGGGCAAGCGUUGUUCGGAAUUACUGGGCGUAAAGGGCUCGUAGGCGGCCAACUAAGUCGGAUGUGAAAUCCCCAGGCUUAACCUGGGAACUGCAUCCGAUACUGGAUGGCUUGAAUCCGGGAGAGGGAUGCGGAAUUCCAGGUGUAGCGGUGAAAUGCGGAGAUAUCUGGAGGAACACCGGUGGCGAAGGCGGCAUCCUGGACCGGCAUUGACGCUGAGGAGCGAAAGCCAGGGGAGCAAACGGG
rnacentral:rRNA from 1 species